GUGAGGAAUAUUGGACAAUGGGCGAAAGCCUGAUCCAGCCAUGCCGCGUGAUAGAUGAAGGCCCUCUGGGUUGUAAAUAUCUUUUAUCUGGGAAGAAACUCCUCUAUUCUUAGAGGCCUGACGGUACCAGAGGAAUAAGCACCGGCUAACUCCGUGCCAGCAGCCGCGGUAAUACGGAGGGUGCAAGCGUUAUCCGGAUUCACUGGGUUUAAAGGGUGCGUAGGCGGGUUGAUAAGUCAGUGGUGAAAGCUCCGGGCUUAACUUGGAAACUGCCAUUGAUACUGGCAAUCUUGAAUGUCGUAAAGGUAAUCGGAAUGUUGCAUGUAGCGGUGAAAUGCUUAGAUAUGUUACAGAACACCAAUUGCGAAGGCAGCUUACUAUGCGAUAAUUGACGCUGAGGCACGAAAGCGUGGGGAGCAAACAGGAUUAGAUACCCCGGUAGUCC
rnacentral:rRNA from 1 species